rnacentral:rRNA from 1 species
GACAGAGGUGGCUAGCGUUGUUCGGAUUUAUUGGGCGUAAAGAGCGCGUAGGCGGUCCUUUAAGUCGGUGGUGAAAUCCCGGGGCUUAACCCCGGAAUUGCCUCCGAUACUGGAGUACUUGAGUGCGGGAGAGGGCAGUGGAAUUCCCGGUGUAGAAGUGAAAUUCGUAGAUAUUGGGAAGAACACCAGUGGCGAAGGCAGCUGCCUGGACCGCAACUGACGCUGAGGCGCGAAAGCGUGGGGAG